UACGUAGGGUGCGAGCGUUGUCCGGAAUUAUUGGGCGUAAAGGGCUCGUAGGCGGUUUGUCGCGUCGGGAGUGAAAACGCCGUGCUUAACACGGCGCUUGCUUUCGAUACGGGCAGACUAGAGGUAUGCAGGGGAGAACGGAAUUCCUGGUGUAGCGGUGAAAUGCGCAGAUAUCAGGAAGAACACCCGUGGCGAAGGCGGUUCUCUGGGACGGUACUGACGCUGAGACGCGAAAGCGUGGGGAGCGAACAGG
rnacentral:rRNA from 1 species